AAAUACACAGCUUUGCAGAGUGCAAUUUCGCAGGUACCUGUGAUUCAUGGAAGUUUGGAAAUACAGGGUGUGGGGAUCUUAUUCCAAGUUUCCUGAAAUUUCUGUGCAAGUCUCAUGGAGGAAGACUGUAUUGUCUCUGUUUCCAAAACAUGGCUGUCAUUUGAAGGGAGAAGGGCAAGAGACUAAAAUUUUGAACUUUGAAAGCUGGUGUCGUUUGUGUCACUGCUAUUCCUUCUCCCUAAGCCCCCCUACUCCUUGAUCACUCUGUUCAGUGUAUUUCAAAAUUGUCAAGACCAGAAUACUAUCUGACAAGAUGAUCAUGAAGUAGCUGAGAGCCUUUGGAAGCUUCCUGUUGUCCUGACCGAGAGGGCUCCAGGAACAGUAGGAUCCCAGUAAUGCAACUGGGAGAAUAAGCCAAGGAUAGUAUAAUAACGUGCUGGCCUGGGAAGGGUCACUCCUGCCUGGAAAGCAGAAGUGGUGCCUGAGAACCAAACCAGGCUAGACAUCAAGCCUUGGACCAGAGGGAAGGUCACCUGCUCCAGCCUUUCCCCGCCAAAACCCCAAAAGGGGAAUCGAGUCUGCGUACUUCCUGGACCACUUGAAAAGAUCUCAAAGCUGACAGGACCUGUUUGGAGGAAGGAGGCUUUGCUGCCCUGGAGGAACAGCAGCCACGGUUGUCUCUACCAAGACAGACAGAGCAAAGCGUGACUGACAGCCAAGCCAAAACCAAUAUGCAGAAACUGCCUGUUCAUAACACAUCACACCUAUCA